AUCCUGAGCCACCUGGCCCAUUUCUGAAACUAGGGACCUGGGUGUGAUGAUUCCCAAAGGCUUACACUGUUCUAAAAAUAACCAAACCCAAACCAAAUCUCACUGGGGUGGCAGAGAUGGAGCCUGAGAAUCACGUGAGAUAGUCCAGCAAUAAAUAAUGAACAGAGGCCACUCUGAGAGCCCUCUGGGGACCUGUCAGUGCCAGACACAGGUUUUAAACAACCUCUACUCCUAUGGACUGACUUCUCUCAAGUCCGGGGAACUGGAGAGAACUAGCAUCCCACUGUGGGGGGAUAACUUCUGAUCUGUAAGAAGACCUAGGGAUCUCAG
rnacentral:lncRNA from 1 species